UACGUAGGGGCAAGCGUUAUCCGGAUUUACUGGGUGUAAAGGGAGCGCAGACGGCAGUGCAAGUCUGAUGUGAAAGCCCGGGGCUCAACCCCGGAACUGCAUUGGAAACUGUACAGCUUGAGUGUCGGAGAGGUAAGCGGAAUUCCUAGUGUAGCGGUGAAAUGCGUAGAUAUUAGGAGGAACACCGGUGGCGAAGGCGGCUUACUGGACGAUAACUGACGUUGAGGCUCGAAAGCGUGGGGAGCAAACAGGAUUAGAUACCCCGGUAGUCCCUGAG
rnacentral:rRNA from 1 species